rnacentral:rRNA from 1 species
UAGGGAAUAUUGGUCAAUGGAUGCAAGUCUGAACCAGCCAUGCCGCGUGCAGGAAGAAGGCCUUCUGGGUUGUAAACUGCUUUUGCCGGGGGAUAAAAUUCCCAUGCGUGGGACAUUGAAGGUACCCGGUGAAUAAGCACCGGCUAACUACGUGCCAGCAGCCGCGGUAAUACGUAGGGUGCAAGCGUUAAUCGGAAUUACUGGGCGUAAAGCGUGCGCAGACGGUUAUGUAAGACAGGUGUGAAAUCCCCGGGCUUAACCUGGGAACUGCAUUUGUGACUGCAUAGCUAGAGUACGGUAGAGGGGGAUGGAAUUCCGCGUGUAGCAGUGAAAUGCGUAGAUAUGCGGAGGAACACCGAUGGCGAAGGCAAUCCCCUGGACCUGUACUGACGCUCAUGCACGAAAGCGUGGGGAGCAAA